CAUUUAUUGGUGAGUUUACGCAAGAUUAUGGUAUUUGGUAGAUUAAAAAAUCCAAGCCUACGAUCUUUAGCCGGUUUGUAAGAAUGUACGGUCACAUAGGAACUGAGACACUGUCCUAACUCAAUUGAGGCAGCAGCGAGGAAUUUUAGGCAAUGAGCGAAAGCUUGACCUAGUUAAAUUACGUGUAUGACGACAGCAAAAUCGCUGUAAAGUACUUUAUAAAUGUGAAUUAUAAUGAAUGUACCUUUAUUAAAUAAGUUCUAGCUAAUCUCGUGCCAGCAGCUGCGGUAAAACGGGAAGAACGAGCGUUAUUUCAUAUUACUAGGUGUAAAGUGCAUGAAGAUUAUCGAUUAAGUAUCGUUUUAAAACUUAAAGAAUUUUAAGUCAAACUUUAUACUAAUUCGGUUUGAGUGUUAUUAAUGAUUGUAGAAUUUUAUUUGUAAAAGUUAAAUAUUUAGAUUUUUAAAGGAAUACUAAAAGCGAAAGCAUCAAUCUAUGUAACUACUGACAUUGUAAUGCGAAAGCUUAGGUAUCAAAUGGGAUUAGAUACCCCCUUAGUCUAAGCCGUCAACUCUGAGUGUUUAUUCAUUUAUGUUUAUAGUUAACGCAAAAACACUCUACCUGGGUACUACGACCGCAAGGUUAAAACUUAAAGGAAUUGACGGAAAUCUAUACAGGCGGUGGAGCAUGUGAUUUAAUUCGAAUCAACGCGUAGAACCUUACUAGUGUUUGUAUAAUUUACAAGGUUGCAUGGUUGUUGUCAGUCCGUGCUGUAAAGCGUUCGACCUUGAUCGAAAUUUUUAAAACGGACGAAACUCUUUUUUCUUAAUUAUAU
rnacentral:rRNA from 11 species